rnacentral:rRNA from 1 species
UACAGAGGGUGCAAGCGUUGUUCGGAAUUAUUGGGCGUAAAGCGCGUGUAGGCGGCCUUGCAAGUCGAGUGUGAAAGCCCUCAGCUUAACUGAGGAAGUGCGCCCGAAACUGCAUGGCUUGAGUACCGGAGAGGAUGGCGGAAUUCCCCAAGUAGAGGUGAAAUUCGUAGAUAUGGGGAGGAACACCGAUGGCGAAGGCAGCCCCCUGGGCUGACACUGACGCUCAGGCACGAAAGCGUGGAGAGCAAACAGG